AGAGUUUGAUCAUGGCUCAGAGUGAACGCUGGCGGCAUGCCUAACACAUGCAAGUCGAACGGUAACAGGCCCGCAAGGGUGCUGACGAGUGGCGGACGGGUGAGGAAUACAUCGGAAUUUGCCCAGUCGUGGGGGAUAACGUAGGGAAACUUACGCUAAUACCGCAUACGACCUAACGGUGAAAGCGGGGGAUCGCAAGACCUCGCGCGAGUGGAUGAGCCGAUGUCGGAUUAGCUAGUUGGCGGGGUAAAGGCCCACCAAGGCGACGAUCCGUAGCUGGUCUGAGAGGAUGAUCAGCCACACUGGGACUGAGACACGGCCCAGACUCCUACGGGAGGCAGCAGUGGGGAAUAUUGGACAAUGGGGGCAACCCUGAUCCAGCAAUGCCGCGUGUGUGAAGAAGGCCUUCGGGUUGUAAAGCACUUUUAUCCGGAACGAAACGCGCUUGGUGAAUAGCCAGGUGAACUGACGGUACCGGAGGAAUAAGCACCGGCUAACUUCGUGCCAGCAGCCGCGGUAAUACGAAGGGUGCAAGCGUUACUCGGAAUUACUGGGCGUAAAGCGUGCGUAGGUGGUUUGUUAAGUCCGUUGUGAAAGCCCUGGGCUCAACCUGGGAAUGGCAGUGGAUACUGGCGAGCUAGAGUGCGGUAGAGGGUAGUGGAAUUCCCGGUAGCAGUGAAAUGCGUAGAGAUCGGGAGGAACACCAGUGGCGAAGGCGGCUACCUGGACCAGCACUGACACUGAGGCACGAAAGCGUGGGGAGCAAACAGGAUUAGAUACCCUAGUAGUCC
rnacentral:rRNA from 1 species